CUGCUGCGUGGUGGCCUUGGAUUUUGUGCAUGUGCACGUGUGUCUCUUGCUACGUGUCCUUUGUGAACUGAUGUGCAUUGUGGAAGAGUCUCCGCUCUGCAGCGAUGAGCUGCUCAUCGAAGAAGUGCGACAAAGGCCGCUACUUUACCACCAGCACCUCAAAACGUAUCGUGACAACAGGCUCCAGAAGGACACCUGGCUUGAUGUAGCGAAUAAAUUGAAACAAUGUGGUGCAAUGCAGUGGCCGAACUGCAGCAUAUUUGGAGUUGCCUUGGGUAGAAGUUUCUUCGGCUGGGAAAUGUCUGCCACAUGUCUGACACCGGCGCAGCGGGCAUUGAGAAGUCGUGGGUUCUCAUGCCACACCUUAUGUUCCUGGCCGAUGCAAUACAACGCCGAAGCACCGUCUGCACGCUGAUGGGAAAAGAUGGGAGAGGAUUCGAGCUGUCCCAUGCUCAGUUACCUCAGUCUGUCACUGACGCAGCGUCAUCAAUACAAAAUUUGUCACACAUUUCAUGCAAACAAUACCCAGCAGACGUCACUGUCUUACGACUUACUGGAAGAACUCCCCUGUCACAAGGUUUGUCCAAGUGCAGCUGCUUCCUCUGCACCAAGUAUUGAGGCAGACAGACUGCCUGACGGAAAAAACAUCAAAGUCGGCAGCGAGCUUGGAACAAAUUUCUUUACAUGUCGCCUGUUCACCACAGCGCUCAACUUGCUCUGAAGAAGUUUCUUCGAAAUCAAGAAAUUGUAAGCAAGCUCACAAAAAGCAAAAAGAAUGAC